rnacentral:rRNA from 1 species
UACAGAGGUCUCAAGCGUUGUUCGGAUUCAUUGGGCGUAAAGGGUGCGUAGGCGGCGCGGUAAGUCGGGUGUGAAAUCUCGGGGCUUAACUCCGAAACUGCAUUCGAUACUGCCGUGCUUGAGGACUGGAGAGGAGACUGGAAAUUUACGGUGUAGCGGUGAAAAUGCGUAGAUAUCGUAAGGAAGACCAGUGGCGAAGGCGGGUCGCUGGACAU